rnacentral:rRNA from 1 species
GGCAUCUCUCUCCCCAAAAUCCAAACCGAGACGCGAGCCCCUGCCCUGCCCCCUGUCCUCCUGCGGCGUUCCAGUUGGAGAGCAAUGCCGGGGCCCAGGAGCAGGAAGCGCGCGGCCGCGGAGGCCGGCGGCUCGAGCAGGACGGCGAAGCCGGCGCCGGCGAGGCGGGGGACGGCCAGGCCGGGGACGGCGGCGCCGGAGCGCUUCGCCGAGAGGCGGAACCUGGAGGAUCUUUGGUUGUCGGCCUUCCCCAUUGGAACCGAGUGGGAAAACAUUGACAAGAUAAAGGAGUUCAACUGGAACUUUCAAAAUUUAGAGAAAGCUCUAGAGGAAGGGGGAGAGCUGUAUGGGAAGACAGUUUACUUAUUUGCAAACACCGAACCUCAGCAAUUGCAUGUUAAUGGCGAACAGAAGAUGGCUGAUUGUCCUUGCGCCCCUUCAGAUAAAGUUGGUAUAAAUUCUGUCCAAAGGGCACAUGAAGAAAUACUACCAAUGAGAGCAAUGAAGAUGUCCUGGGUGCCCUAUGUUCCACUCGAGGACCGGCUCAGCAGGAUUGAGGGUUUGAAAACAAAAAUAUUCACUCUUCAUUGCUCCCAGCGAAGGUCUGCACUGAAGCAUCUAAAAACUGAGCGAGUCAGGAAGUUUGACUACUGCAUGCCAUGA